rnacentral:rRNA from 1 species
CCUACGGGUGGCAGCAGUGGGGAAUAUUGCACAAUGGGGGAAACCCUGAUGCAGCAACGCCGCGUGAGUGAAGAAGUAUUUCGGUAUGUAAAGCUCUAUCAGCAGGGAAGAAGAAAGACGGUACCUGACUAAGAAGCCCCGGCUAACUACGUGCCAGCAGCCGCGGUAAUACGUAGGGGGCAAGCGUUAUCCGGAUUUACUGGGUGGAAAGGGAGCGUAGACGGCUGUGCAAGUCUGAAGGUAAAGCCCGUGGCUCAACCGCGGAACUGCUUUGGAAACUGUAUAGCUGGAGUACUGGAGAGGCAGGCGGAAUUCCUAGUGUAGCGGUGAAAUGCGUAGAUAUUAGGAGGAACACCAGUGGCGAAGGCGGCCUGCUGGACAGAAACUGACGUUGAGGCUCGAAAGCGUGGGGAGCAAACAGGAUUAGAUACCCGGGUAGUC